rnacentral:rRNA from 1 species
CCUGCGGAAGGAUCAUUGUCGAA